rnacentral:rRNA from 1 species
UACGUAGGGUGCAAGCGUUGUCCGGAAUUAUUGGGCGUAAAGAGCUCGUAGGCGGUCUGUCGCGUCUGCUGUGAAAUCUCAGGGCUUAACCCUGAGCUUGCAGUGGGUACGGGCAGACUAGAGUGCGGUAGGGGAGACUGGAAUUCCUGGUGUAGCGGUGAAAUGCGCAGAUAUCAGGAGGAACACCGGUGGCGAAGGCGGUUCUCUGGGCAUGAUCUGACGGCUGAGGAGCGAAAUGUGUGGGGAGCGAACAGG